GAACACAGCAGCCUCCCUCUCUCUCUCUCACAUCGCCGCCGCCCCCAGCCUCCCUCCGGUGCCGCCGUCGCGCCACCGCCACCUCCGGCGGUGGUCCUCCUUCCUCCUCCCCUCUUUCUCCCUUCUCACCUUCUUUCUUCUCUCUUCUCUCUCUGUGUCGAUUUCCCUCUCUCUCCCUCUCCUAUCUCUCUCUCAGAGACCACUCCACCACCACCACCGCAGCGAGCCCGACGACGCACCGUCACCACCGUGCGCAACACAGACGCCGCCGCCACCUCUAGAUCUCCUCCCGUUCAGAUCAGCCGCCGCCGCCUCCGCCACUGUGCAUGCACAGGUGGCGGCUUCGGCCUCCUCCACGUCUCGCACAGCCGGAGCAGCUUCCCGGCGUCACUCCAGCCCCGGCCGCCGCCUCCUCGCCGAACUCCCGGAAGAUUUGUCAAGAUUUUAUUGAAAGUCAUAGAGGUGUGAGGCUGCCUACGUCGUCUCCGGGCUGCCGAGCUCGCUGCAGAAAUCCGGCAGAUUCAUAGAGGUAUAAUCGGUUCAAGUUCGUGGCCGUCCGCGUUGAAGUACCCGCUUUCUUAAAAUAUACAAUGUAUAAAUUAUAUUUUGUUGGACUUUUGUUGGAUGUAUCGGACAUUAAAAUAAAUAAAUUUUGGGGUCUUAA